ensembl:lncRNA
CGGGCAGAAAAUUCAAUUAGUCUCGAGCAAAUGCCUUCCUAAAGGACACAGAAAACGAAAAUAAAGAGGAGAAAUCUGCUUUCAUCCUGUACAGAAAGAGGCUUUGCGGGGGGAAAUACAGAUUAGGGAGAUAAAGAGGCAGGUUUAAGGCUUUCAAAAAGGGUUCUUUCUUCUUCCUUUCUCUCUCUCUCUCCUCUUUCUUUCUUUCUCUUUCUUUCUUUCUUUUUCUUUCUUUUCUUUCUCUCUCUCUCUGUCUCUUUCUUUCCCUCUUUCUCCCUCCCUCCCUCUUUCUCCCUCUCUUUCCCACAGGCAUGAUGACCAAAUUCUCACUUGCACCACCGCUGAAUCGAUCCAAAUCCCUACGUAAGGACAACAGCAUGUUACAGCAUUUGCCUUGGUGUGAGUAAGAACCCAAACCGGCCCCUGGUUUUUGCCUGUCUCUACAGCUCCUCCGUUCAGGUGCGAGGGGGAGACGGCAAGAGAUGCACUGUACCAAAAUGAUGUCCUGAUUGCAAACUUUAAUGGCUCGCUGCAGUCCUGCACYGAGAUUUUAAGGCGUUCAGUGUCUCUCAAGGGAAGGAGGGAAAGAAAAGCCGCAAACAACACAGGAAUUGCCUGGAGGGGAGAAAAGCUGGCUGUCCUUGCUUCCAGUAUCAGCCACUGCCAUCUCUUUAGGUGCACCCAACAGCUGGCGGGCGACUUGUUUUUAUCUUGCUUGCUUCUCCCUCCGAUGUCUCUCUCGAGCUUCCUGCCACUUUCCCCGGCCACACAAACAACCGAUGCGCUUGGCUCUUUCCGCUGGUUGCACUGGCUCCGCUGUCCAGACCACAGGGAGGAUGGACUGGAGCCGUUUCAGGUUGCUUUAGGAGACGAAUGCAUAGCUGUGGCCUUCCCAGGUUUGCCAGUCGGCAGGAGGAUUAGCCAAGUCUCCGGAGUGCCAAGAGGAGAGGCCGUGUAGGAAAGAGCGCGUAGACAGUGGAGUCAGAAAGCAAGAGAGUGGAAGAAGAGGAAAAAAAUAGGAAAAGAGACAGACUGCAGACUCAAAGACAGAAAAUCAGCUUGGAGACAGAGGUUUUGGGGUGUGGGUGUGUGUCUUGGCUUUUCCGAGCACUCGCGUCCCCCCCGGUCUUGGCUUGCUCUGUCCGAAAGCUCUGCUGCCAGGCGGGAGCAGCGAAGGAGUGGUGCAAGCGCAGCGCCGCGGCUCCCGCUGUCUCUGCGACGACGGCGGCUGCAGAGCCGCGUCCCGUCAGCGCUGGUUAACCAGUGACUAGCUCGUAGCCCCGAGCUCCCGCCGGCUGCUUUCAUCUCCCGGCCGACGGCAAGGCUGACUCUUUCUUCGGCAGCUUCCUAUGCGACAUCUGGACCCUGCGAGCGCUGGCGCUGCCGAGCCGGCAGCAGCGCAGCAACCGCGGAGGCAGCAAGGUCCCGGGUCCGAGGAGCGGCUGGGCUCAGUCUCGCUGCUGCCCGCUGCUUCUUCCCAGCACGGACCCAAGGUGCAGUGGCGCUCUGUGGACACCCCGCUGGGUGGCCUGCACGUCCAGCCUCCCGCCCCCGCACGUCCCCCCAGUUUCUCCGGCAGUAGAUCAUUUCAAGCCUCUUCUGGGGUGGCAAAAUGAGCGGCCUUGAGGCAGUGCCACGCUGAGCUGUGCCUGCCCUUCCGCUGUGCCCCGGCACGUGGCCGGGGUGUGGUAGCCUCAUCCUCUUUCUUCUUAGCCCUUAGGACUCACCAGUAACCCUAUUUCCCCCAGCACGCUUUCAGAGGAGACCGACCACGCACCGCCUGAGGCUUGAGCAGUCUUAAGAGAGGGGCUGGCAGACACCAGCUCGUGCCAGACCCCUCAUGUCCAUCCAUGAGCUCAUCGUGGCCUUCCCAACCACUGCCCUGGACCCCAGCUCUGCUGAGACCCUUCUCUUCCCUCACUUUAAAUAUGGCCUUUCCCGCAGCUCUCCCCUAAGCAGGGCUACCCCUUUACCCUGCUCCCAGAAAAGUGCCCACGCCUGUUCCCCUCGUGGUCUGAUGAGACAAAGUAGAAAAAAACGGUCGGAGCCGGGAAGAAAGGAGCUGGUCUGGAAAUGAAUAGAAGCUGCUGGUCAGGCUGCCGCCAAGCAAACAAAGGCUUUCCAGCGUGUAACGGCUUGUCUACGCGGGGAAAUUAAUUGGAACAGCUUUUCCAAAUUAGCUGAAUCUGAUGAUGAUAAAAAUAAUAAAAACAAAUAGUGGAUUAAGUUAAAUUAGGAA